rnacentral:rRNA from 1 species
ACGCUCGACACCUACGGGAGGUAGCAGUGGGGAAUAUUGCACAAUGGGGGAAACCCUGAUGCAGCGAUGCCGCGUGAAGGAAGAAGUAUCUCGGUAUGUAAACUUCUAUCAGCAGGGAAGAAAAUGACGGUACCUGACUAAGAAGCCCCGGCUAACUACGUGCUAGCAGCCGCGGUAAUCUGAGCGGGCUGGCAAGGC